rnacentral:rRNA from 1 species
AACGAACGCUGGCGGCAUGCCUAACACAUGCAAGUCGAACGAGACCUUCGGGUCUAGUGGCGCACGGGUGCGUAACGCGUGGGAACCUGCCCUUAGGUUCGGAAUAACUCCCCGAAAGGGGUGCUAGUACCGGAUAAUGUCUUCGGACCAAAGAUUUAUCGCCUUUGGAUGGGCCCGCGUUGGAUUAGCUAGUUGGUAGGGUAAAAGCCUACCAAGGCGACGAUCCAUAGCUGGUCUGAGAGGAUGAUCAGCCACACUGGGACUGAGACACGGCCCAGACUCCUACGGGAGGCAGCAGUGGGGAAUAUUGGACAAUGGGCGAAAGCCUGAUCCAGCAAUACCGCGUGAGUGAUGAAGGCCUUAGGGUUGUAAAGCUCUUUUACCCGGGAUGAUAAUGACAGUACCGGGAGAAUAAGCUCCGGCUAACUCCGUG